rnacentral:lncRNA from 1 species
CAUGCGCAUUGCGUGCGGCAGAUGUUUCACGGAGCACAUUUCAAGGAGCGCGGCCGUGCCUCCUCCCUCACUCUCUCCCACAUGGCCGAAGGAGCGAAACUUCUCUUCUUAACCAAGCCGUUGGCUAAGGGUUGUGUACCCGUCAGGCUCCAGAGGAAGAAAGUUAAGGAGAAGUGAAGAUGCAUAAGAUGCUGUCUCUGGUGCAACUAAGCCAAGAUAGCAAUAUGCGUACAUUUGUAUUUAAAAUGUGUGACUGGAUACACGUGAAAGACCUUGCCUUCGAAACUUAGCAAGGUGUAUUGUGGUGGUUGAAGUCUUGCCCCUAUAACAUGCCAUAGAAGGAACAUGUGAUACUGUCCAGUUUGAACAUGGGAUAAUUGAGUUUGCCCUUAUUGCCAGUGAAAUAUUUAUACAGAUAAGGGACUGGCAUAUUCCUCCUGUACUUGAGCAAGUUCUCUGUAGGCUGGGAAGCCUACUUUAAUUUCUCCUUUGAACCAUGAGAACACAGCCUCAUUUACUUCGGAAUGAGUGUGAAGUCGCCCCUUCUCUACAUGACGUGUGCACAAGAUGUUCUCCAGUCCAAUCAUAUCCACCACGUGCACCAGUAGUGGAACCUUUUGAUUAAGAUGAGAUACUGCUUUCCUUCAUAUUUUCAUUGGAGAUGUUGCAGAAAAUGAAAGUUGGCAAAGUGUUGGCCUUGACUUGAUGAGGCAUAGGCAUUUAAUGGUCUGAGAAAUUGCAGGAGAUUUAUCUUAGGAUCAUGAAAUGCAGGACUGAUUGAUUGGAACAAAACCUGACCAGCAGUGAUUUUUAUAAGGUUUGAAAAUAGGAAUUCUUACGGCUGGAGAAUAGUAGCUGCUAUUAGGCUUGACUUUUGCUCAGGGUUCCAGUGUUUCAACUGUCCCAGAAUGAGCCACAGCAUUGAAACUUCAUGACACUAUUAGGUCAUGGAGGGUUGCUGUUCACAUCGGGCGGUUCUUGACAAUCGAUUGGUCCUGGAGUGAUAUUGGAAAAGAUUUGUGAUUAUAGAAGAUAACAGUGGAGCACCAUGUUGUCAAAUAAGCCACUUUCAUGAUUGGUCUAGGUGUUGGAGGUGGUGAAUGCUAUUGAUGUUGACACCUAAGCAAGAAUUAUGCUGUCUGUUGCAUUUAUCAUUAAGAUGGUCAGUUUUGAGGCCGAGUUGAUAUGACCAGAUGCAUUUUAUGGUGUUUGAGCAGCUGCAGUAAAUUAAGUUUGUGAAAUACAGGAUUGUGAAAUCUCAUGGCUGAUGUAGUGGAUACUUUUGACUAGUCUGGGCUAGUUUUGUGCUGAGAUAUUCAAGUGUGCUGUAUGUAGUAUUCUUCAUUGAAAGUGCAAUUGAAACUACUUAAUCAUGCAGAUGGCUUGCAAUUUCACUCAAAAGUGAAUGGCAUUUGGGAGCACUGUCUUACCAGGAUCCUAUUUCGUCCUUGGAUUAGGUGUUGAAUAUGGUGAAAACCCAUUGUUGACAGUGAGGCAAGAAAUUUGAUGUCUGAUGUCUGUUCUGCCCUUGUUAAAGAAAGGACAUGUAGAGUAAGCUGAAUAAGAUGGCAAAAAUUUUGCUUCUGAACUUCAAAUCCAUGAUUUAAUGAACUGGAACAUGCCCUCUAUUGGUGAGCAUAGAUUCUUGGGGAACUUGAUAGAAAACCCCUAUCCUGACCCCCCCCCCCCCCCUGAAGUUGAGGGUCACUACACAGAACCAUAAAUAGUUGAAACCACUCUUGUGGAUCCAAGACAGUGAUAAUCAUUUGCAUCUGAUUUAUAUAAGAUAUGAUAUAUUAUAUUUUGUAAUAAUUAUGCUACUUUCUAAUUUCUACCGUUUCCGGUGUGCCACAGUAGGAAUUAUGGUUUAAUAGCUUGGUACUGUUAUAUUCUCAAGGGUAGAAUAAAAUUUAUUAGGUGGGGAAGUCGUAAGUAGUGUAAAGCAUAAGUUGUAAAUUCAUGUCUUAAUAUGGUAAAAUUACAUCUUUAUUUUACUGGUAAGCUAAUUCUAUACAUUGAAAAUGGUAUGAUUAGAAUAAUCUGUUAAAUAAAUUUCCUCAUGCUAUUAUUUUUAUCUGCAUAUUUAUCCUAUAUCCCAUAGCUUUUAAAUGUUUCAAUCCUGGAAGGGCUGAAUGAAAAUGAAAUUUACAGUAUGUACAUAUUCUUGACUGAUAUGUAGAUUUUUAAAAAUAAAGAAUAACUAAUUA